GAAUGUUUAUGAGGCCUGAAUGUUUGUAUGAUGACUGUCACGUUUCUUAUUUACUUUAGACGCUGAAUGUAUCUCUGAAUAUAUCUGUGCGCGGAGACAAUCUUGCGGCCAAUGUGGGGCCUUCACGGAUACAGUUCGAUGUUAAAGACAGUACUAUCGGCCCGAUUACGACCAGAGGAUUAGACUUUGUUGCAAACAUCAUUCUCAACUCGUUCAUCAUACCAAAGCUUAACAAGGUUGGAAAACAGGGACUACCAAUUACAAAAUUAGACAACGUUAAACUUGUGAACCCGAGCGUAGAACUAAUGCAGAAUUCCGUUGUGAUCGCUGCGGAUGUGGCGUAUCUGUAGUCCGCACAGAAGAUUCGGAGGACUUUCAUUGGAUAAAUCCAAUGUCCAAGCACCAGUUUUAUUUUAUUGGUCGUCAAUGUCAGAUUUCUUUCACCAGUGACAGUAUCAAUGCAUUUCCACAACUUUGUGCGACUUUGUUUUUAACAGUGUAUUUUACGUUUUAUUACCACGAAUGCACUUGAUAUUCCAAGUUCUACCUGUAUGACAAGC